rnacentral:tRNA from 1 species
GCAGUAGUGGUUCACUGGUAGAAUUCUUGCCUUCCAUGCAGGAUACCCAGGUUCGACUCUGGCCAAUGCA